AAAUUGAAGAGUUUGAUCAUGGCUCAGAUUGAACGCUGGCGGCAGGCCUAACACAUGCAAGUCGAACGGUAACAGGAAGCAGCUUGCUGAUUCGCUGACGAGUGGCGGACGGGUGAGUAAUGUCUGGGAAACUGCCUGAUGGAGGGGGAUAACUACUGGAAACGGUAGCUAAUACCGCAUAA
rnacentral:rRNA from 1 species